AUUGAACGCUGGCGGCAGGCCUAACACAUGCAAGUCGAGCGAGCGGCGGACGGGUGAGUAAUGUAUGGGGACUGCCCGAUAGAGGGGGAUAACUACUGGAAACGGUGGCUACUACCGCAUACUGUCGGAUAACCCAUAUGGGAUUAGCUAGUAGGUAAGGUAAGGGCUUACCUAGGCGACGAUCCCUAUGUGGUCUGAGAGGAUGAUCAGCACCACUGGGAGUGAGCCCAGGCCCAGACUCCUACGGAGGCAGCAGUGGGGAAUAUUGCACAAUGGGCGCAAGCCUGAUGCAGCCAGGCCGCGUAUAUUGAGAAGGCCCUAGGGUUGGAGAGUACUUUCAGUCGGGAGGCGUUACCGACAGAAUAAGCACCGGCUAACUCCGUGCCAGCCGCCGCGGUAAUUC
rnacentral:rRNA from 1 species